rnacentral:rRNA from 1 species
GACGAACGCUGGCGGCGUGCCUAAUACAUGCAAGUUGAGCGAUGAAGAUUGGUGCUUGCACCAAUUUGAAGAGCAGCGAACGGGUGAGUAACGCGUGGGGAAUCUGCCUUUGAGCGGGGGACAACAUUUGGAAACGAAUGCUAAUACCGCAUAAUAACUUUAAACAUAAGUUGUAAGUUUGAAAGAUGCAAUUGCAUCACUCAAAGAUGAUCCCGCGUUGUAUUAGCUAGUUGGUGAGGUAAAGGCUCACCAAGGCGAUGAUACAUAGCCGACCUGAGAGGGUGAUCGGCCACAUUGGGACUGAGACACGGCCCAAACUCCUACGGGAGGCAGCAGUAGGGAAUCUUCGGCAAUGGACGAAAGUCUGACCGAGCAACGCCGCGUGAGUGAAGAAGGUUUUCGGAUCGUAAAACUCGGUUGGUAGAGAAGAACGUUGGUGAGAGUGGAAAGCUCAUCAAGUGACGGUAACUACCCAGAAAGGGACGGCUAACUACGUG